CAUGUCCUGCCCCUGCAGCGCGAGUGCAUCUCCAUCCAUGUGGGCCAAGCGGGCGUGCAGAUCGGCAACGCCUGCUGGGAGCUGUACUGCCUGGAGCACGGCAUCCAGCCCGACGGGCAGAUGCCCAGCGACAAGACCAUUGGUGGGGGGGACGACUCCUUCAACACCUUCUUCAGCGAGACGGGGGCCGGCAAGCAUGUACCCCGGGCCGUCUUUGUGGACCUGGAGCCCACGGAGAAUUCCAUGGGGUCUCACAGGCCACCCCAGGGGUGGUUGGGUACAAAGGGACUUGGGAUUUGCCGGGGAGGUGAUCAGGAGGUCCUUCUCACCCUGUCAGCAGUCUCCCAACAGGCUGACCAGUGCACGGGGCUGCAGGGCUUCCUGGUGUUCCACAGCUUUGGGGGUGGCACCGGCUCCGGCUUCACCUCCCUGCUCAUGGAGCGCCUCUCCGUUGACUAUGGCAAGAAGUCCAAGCUGGAGUUCUCCAUCUACCCGGCCCCGCAGGUCUCCACAGCCGUGGUGGAGCCCUACAACUCCAUCCUCACCACCCACACCACCCUGGAGCACUCUGACUGUGCCUUCAUGGUGGACAACGAGGCCAUCUACGACAUCUGCCGCCGCAACCUGGACAUCGAGAGGCCCACCUACACCAACCUCAAUAGGCUGAUAGGUCAGAUCGUGUCCUCCAUCACGGCCUCCCUGCGCUUUGAUGGGGCCCUGAAUGUUGACCUGACGGAGUUCCAGACCAACCUGGUGCCAUACCCCCGCAUCCACUUCCCGCUGGCCACGUACGCCCCCGUCAUCUCGGCUGAGAAGGCCUACCAUGAGCAGCUCUCGGUGGCCGAGAUCACCAACGCCUGCUUUGAGCCGGCCAACCAGAUGGUGAAGUGUGACCCGCGGCACGGCAAGUACAUGGCGUGCUGCCUGCUGUACCGCGGGGACGUGGUGCCCAAGGAUGUCAACGCCGCCAUCGCCACCAUCAAGACCAAGCGCACCAUCCAGUUUGUGGACUGGUGCCCCACGGGUUUCAAGGUGGGCAUCAACUACCAGCCUCCCACGGUGGUCCCCGGGGGGGACCUGGCCAAGGUGCAGCGUGCUGUGUGUAUGCUGAGCAACACCACGGCCAUCGCCGAGGCCUGGGCCCGCCUGGACCACAAGUUUGACCUGAUGUAUGCCAAGCGGGCGUUUGUGCACUGGUACGUGGGGGAGGGCAUGGAGGAGGGGGAGUUCUCGGAGGCCCGGGAGGACAUGGCCGCCCUGGAGAAGGAUUAUGAGGAGGUGGGGGCUGACAGUGUGGAGGGUGAUGAGGAGGGGGAGGAAUAUUAGUGCCUUGUGUCUUCUGCUGCUUACACUGUGGUGCUGGUCAUUAAAAUGACUCUUUCCA